GCCAGACUCCUACGGGAGGCAGCAGUGGGGAAUAUUGGGCAAUGGGCGCAAGCCUGACCCAGCAACGCCGCGUGAAGGAAGAAGGCCCUCGGGUUGUAAACUUCUUUUAUCAAGGACGAAACAAAUGACGGUACUUGAUGAAUAAGCCACGGCUAACUACGUGCCAGCAGCCGCGGUAAUACGUAGGGGGCAAGCGUUAUCCGGAUUUACUGGGUGUAAAGGGAGCGUAGACGGCAAUACAAGUCGGAAGUGAAAUACCCGGGCUCAACCUGGGAAUUGCUUUGGAAACUGUAUGGCUGGAGUGCUGGAGAGGUAAGCGGAAUUCCUAGUGUAGCGGUGAAAUGCGUAGAUAUUAGGAGGAACACCAGUGGCGAAGGCGGCUUACUGGACAGUAACUGACGUUGAGGCUCGAAAGCGUGGGGAGCAAACAGGAUUAGAUACCCUAGUAUCG
rnacentral:rRNA from 1 species